rnacentral:rRNA from 1 species
UAAAUCUAUUUAAAAGCAAUAAACGGAUGCCUUGGGUAAAAAAGAGGAAGAAGGACGUAGCUGGCUGCGAUAAGUCUUGAUGAGAUGCCAACAAUCGCUUGGAGUCAAGAAUUUCCGAAUGGGGCAACCUAUUCUCUAUAGGAGAAUACAAAGUUGACAAUACUCGGUGAAGUGAAAUAUCUCAGUAACCGAAGGAAAAGAAAUCGUAAUGAGAUUCCCUUAGUAGUGACGAGCGAACAGGGAAGAGCCCAAACUCUAUUAGUGUAAGCUUCUAGGCGUUGCUAAUAAGAGGGUUGUAGGAUCGUCCAUAAAGAGCUAGAACUCUUUGGAUGGAGAGAUGUUGUAUUAGGAGAAACAUUUGGAUGAUGUACCAUAGAAGGUUAAAGUCCCGUAUCUGAAAAUAUGACACCACAUCGUGACGACACCUGAGUAAUAUCAGACACGAGAAAUCUGGUAUGAAUCUGCCCAGACCACUGGGUAAGGCUAAAUACUUUUUUACACCGACAGCGAACAGUACCGUGAGGGAACGGUGAAAAGAACCCCUGGUAGGGGAGUGAAAUAGAACCUGAAAUUUAUUGCUUACAAUUGAGUGGGAGCCGCAAGGUGACCACGUACCUAUUGACGAAUGGGUCAGCGAGUUAUUAGUAGUAGCAAGGUUAAGCCAGUUAUAGGCGGAGCCGAAGGGAAACCGAGUCUGAAUAGGGCGCUUUAGUUAUUAUUAAUAGACCCGAAGCGGUAUGAGCUAGACAUGGGCAGGUUGAAGGCAUAGGAAACUAUGCUGGAGGACCGAACGGGUUGGUGCUGCAAAACCUUCCGAUGACCUGUGUUUAGGAGUGAAAAGCUCAUCGAAUACCGUGAUAGCUGGUUCUCUCCGAAAUGCAUUUAGGUGCAGCCUGCAUUUCAAGAUCUUGAAGAGGUAGAGCUCUGGAAAGGCUAGGGGUGUCGAGAGACAUUACCAAACCUUACUAAACUUCGAAUGCUUCAAGGAAUAUUGCAGAGUGGGACUACGGGAGCAAGUUUCGUAGUCAAAAGGAUAACAGUCCAGACUUCUGAUUAAGGUCCCUAAAGUAAUGCUAAGUGGAAAAAGAGGUGUCUUUACUUAUACAUCCAGGAGGUUUGCCUAGAAGCAGCAAUCCUUUAAAGAAAGCGUAACAGCUCACUGGACUAACGAAGAUGCGCUGAAGAUGUAACGGGGCUAAGCAUUAUACCGAAAUCGAAGACCAGUGUAGUAAUACACUGUGUGGUAGGAGAGUGUUCUUACAGGAUGAAGCUACAUCGUGAGGUGUGGUCGACUAGUAAGAAGUAAAAAUGCUGACAUGAGUAACGCUUAUUGAUGAAAAUUCAAUAUAUCGAAACCCUAAGGAUUCCUACGCAACGUUCAUCGUCGUAGGGUUAGUCGGGACCUAAGGCUUAUCCAGAAAUGGAGAGUCGAUGGAUAACUGGUUAAUAUUCCAGUACUUAUAUAAAGAGUGAUGGAGUGACGCAUUGAGAUUUGUGAGAGCUUAUUAAGGAUUUGAGUCGAAAGAGUGAGGUUUUUAUAACCUUAGGUUAUAAAGGUAGUUGCAGGAAAAUCCACAACUAUUGAUACUGAGCUUGAUCGGAAUUUGACUCCUCGGAGUUAGAAAUUCUCAUCGUUUUGGUGCCGAGAAAAACUUCUAAACUUAAUCUUUAUAUAACCCGUACUCAGAUCAGACACUUGUGGGGUGGUAGAGAAUACUAAGAUAAUCGAGAUAAUUAAUGGGUAAGGAACUUGGCAAAUUAGCGGACGUACUUUCGAAAUAAGUCCUGUCCCGAGUAAUCGGGAUCGCAGCGAAAGAGAUGGGGGGAACUGUUUAUCACAAACACAGCUCGCUGCUAACUCGUAAGAGGAUGUAUAGCGGGUGAUGCCUGUCCAAUGCCAGAAUGUUAUGCUCUCUUGUGCAAGCUCGAGGGUUAAGCACUGGUGAAUGACGGCCGUAACUAUGACGGUCCUAAGGUAGCGAAAUUCCUUGUCAGGUAAGUUCUGACGCGCAUGAAUGGCAUAAUCAUCCCCAUGCUGUCUUACCCUUAAACUCGGUGAAAUUACAUUCCCGGUAAAAAUGCCGGGUAGUCACAGUUAGACGGAAAGACCCUGUGAAGCUUUACUGUAGAUUGAUAUUGGAUUGUAGCAUGUCUUGCUCAGUAUAGGUGGGAGGCUUUGAUGUUUCAACUUCGGUUGGGGCGGAGCCAAAAGUGAGAUACCACCCAAGAUAUGUAGCAAUUCUAAUCCCUAGGUUGGGAGACAGUUUCAGUUGGACAGUUUACCUGGGGCGGGUGCCUCCUAAAAAGUAGCGGAGGCGUGCAAAGGUUUGCUUACUACGGAUGGAAACCGUGGUGAAUGUGUAUUCGCAUAAGCAAGCUUGACUGUGAGACUGACAGGUCGAGCAGAUACGAAAGUAGGCGAAAGUGAUCCGGAUCUUCCAAGUGGAAGGGGAUCCGCUCAACGGAUAAAAGUUACUCCGGGGAUAACAGGCUAAUGGAAUCUAAGCGUUCAUAGCGACGAUUCCGUUUGGCACCUCGAUGUCGACUCGUCGCAUCCUGGGGCUGUAGAAGGUCCCAAGGGUUGGGUUGUUCACCCAUUAAAGCGGGACGCGAGUUGGGUUCAGAACGUCGUGAGACAGUUCGGUCCCUAUCUACUGUGACCGUAGGAUAUUUGAGAGAUGCUGACCCUAGUACGAGAGGACCGGGUUGGACGAGCCUCUGAUAGUACCAGUUGUUCCGCCAGGAGCACCGCUGGAUAGUUAAGCUCGGAAAAGGUAACCGCUGAAAGCAUCUAAGUGGGAAACUUGUCUCAAGAUUAGAUAUCCCUCUUCUUUAUGAAGGUAAGACCGCUGGUAGACUACCAGUUUAAUAGGCAUUAGGUGUAAGUCCUGUAAGGGAUUGAGCUAAGAUGUACUAAUUGGUCGAGCGGGUUUAUCUU